rnacentral:rRNA from 1 species
GAUCAGCUUAUUGCAACUCGUACCGUAAACCGACACAGGUAGUCGAGAAGAAUAUUCUAAGGUGCUCGAGUGAAUCACGGCUAAGGAACUCGGCAAAUUAACCCUGUAACUUCGGGAGAAGGGGAGCCUCCUCUGCAAAGAGAGGCCGCAGAGAAAUGGCCCAGGCGACUGUUUAGCAAAAACACAGGGCUCUGCCAAAACGCAAGUUGACGUAUAGGGCCUGACACCUGCCCGGUGCUGGAAGGUUAAGAGGGGAUGUCAUCGCAAGAGAAGCAUUGAAUCGAAGCCCCAGUAAACGGCGGCCGUAACUAUAACGGUCCUAAGGUAGCGAAAUUCCUUGUCGGGUAAGUUCCGACCUGCACGAAUGGUGUAACGAUCUGGGCACUGUCUCGGCCGUGAGCUCGGUGAAAUUGUAGUAGCGGUGAAGUUGCCGCUUACCCGCCACGGGACGGAAAGACCCCGUGCACCUUUACUAUAGCUUUGCAUUGUUUUCGGGUCAGGGAUGUGUAGGAUAGGUGGGAGGCUGUGAGCCGGUGUCGCCAGGCAUCGGGGAGCCAACGUUGAAAUACCACCCUUCGCUGGCCUGGGAUCUAACUUGACUAAGUCAAGGACCGUGCAUGGUGGGUAGUUUGACUGGGGUGGUCGCCUCCAAAAGUGUAACGGAGGCUUCCAAAGGUCUGCUCAGCACGCUUGGUAACCGUGUGUGGAGUGCAAUAGUACAAGCAGGCUUGACUGUAAGACCGACGGGUCGAACAGGUGGGAAACCAGGGUAUAGUGAUCCGGUGGUUCUGUAUGGAAGGGCCAUCGCUCAAAGGAUAAAAGGUACGCCGGGGAUAACAGGCUGAUCUCCCCCAAGAGCUCUCAUCGACGGGGAGGUUUGGCACCUCGAUGUCGGCUCGUCACAUCCUGGGGCUGGAGAAGGUCCCAAGGGUUCGGCUGUUCGCCGAUUAAAGUGGCACGCGAGCUGGGUUCAGAGUCGUGAGACAGUUCGGUCCCUAUCUGUGGUGGGCGUAGGAAGAUUGACGGGGGCUGACCUUAGUACGAGAGGACCGGGUUGGACCCACCGCUGGUGAGCCGGUUGUUACGCCAGUAGCAUGGCCGGGUAGCUACGUGGGGAAUAGAUAAGCGCUGAAAGCAUCUAAGUGCGAAACUAGCCUGAAGAUGAAUCUUCCACAUAAGGGUCGUUGUAGACUACGACGUUGAUAGGCUGCAGGUAUACGUGUAGAAAUACAUUCAGCUGAGCAGUACUAAUUACUC